rnacentral:rRNA from 1 species
UUGCCUACGGGGGGCAGCAGUGAGGAAUAUUGGUCAAUGGGAGAGAUCCUGAACCAGCCAAGCCGCGUGAGGGAAGACGGCCCUAUGGGUUGUAAACCUCUUUUGUCGGGGAGCAAAAGACGCCACGCGUGGCGUUCCGAGAGUACCCGAAGAAAAAGCAUCGGCUAACUCCGUGCCAGCAGCCGCGGUAAUACGGAGGAUGCGAGCGUUAUCCGGAUUUAUUGGGUUUAAAGGGUGCGCAGGCGGAAGAUCAAGUCAGCGGUAAAAUUGAGAGGCUCAACCUCUUCG